AAUGGCCACAGAAUUUCCACCAAGGGUGUUUCCAAUGCUUAUGUCAGGCCCAAACAUUUUUGCUAUGCAGCAACUGACUCCUUGGCAUUUUCUGGAGGCAUCAAGGAGCUAGCUUCUGCUCCCAGUUAAGCUUCCACAGUGCCGCACCAGUGAUGCUGAAUCCAGGGUCCCAUCUCAUAUCUCCUCUCUUGGGUCUUCACUGCCUGCUUACCAAGUACAGCUACUUAAAGCUUUCCUGACAGGAGCUUGGAGGAAGAAACACGCAACAGGAAACACUCAGGACAUGAUGGUUCAAAGGAAAACAAUCCCCUGCUGUUUAUCUCCAGUUUCUUGAGUCUCUGAUAUACCUGCCUGUACCUUCUUCCUUGCACACCCUCUCUGCCUGUGGUCCUUGAUCACCUCCUAGCCACUCUUCUCCUUCCCACCAGUCAGAGCUCUCUUCUGCUUCUCCUCCACCAGCUUCCCAUCACCUGCUGAAAAGACCGAGGCUUCCUUCAAAUUUGCUAUGCAUUUUUGAAGCUAAUUUUAUCUCUUGGGAUUAUGCCAUGUCCUUUGGGAGAAAAGCCCCUAUGUACCUAGCAAAGACAAGUUUUUCUCCCACAUGACAGCUCUUCUUUGUCUCCUGUGAGCACCAGAGAGCUGCUUGCACCUCCUUCUGUCUCCUGAUCACACCGACUCUCCCUCCCACAGCCCAGUCCAAAAGCAAACUCCCUGGCAGCAUGUGAGGGACUGAGCUGGCCACCGAGGCAUCUCUGAAACGUUCCUAGUGCUGGAACAGCUCAGGCUCUGUUGGCCUGUCGGUAGCGGUCCUCGCAUGUGUCAUUACACAACCCGUAUAAUGUUGCUCGUUAAAUCAUUUGUUGACAUGAAUUUGAUUUUCAGCUCAUUUAGGUUACUAGCAGUGUUGAAAGAAGAUUUGAUUUAAUUAUUACUGUAAGUUCUUACCACAAAAUAUUAUGCAUUAUUUUGAAAUGCCUGGCUGUAGAUGUUACUUUAACAUUUUGGUAAGUCUUCAGUGAAACAGUGUUAGAUGUUCCUUAUCCUUAGUUUCCAUUGUCAAACAAGUCAAAUGAACACGUCUCUGUAAAUUUUAAAGAACUUUCCCAUCAAACUUUUGCAUAAAGUUUAUAAUACCCUUACAGUAAGACUAAGUUGAUUUAUUUUUUGAGUUCAUAGGCACAACAUGUUUUUAUUGUACAUCAGGAUGUG
rnacentral:lncRNA from 1 species